ensembl:lncRNA
AUCACACAGCCUUUGUCUGGUAAAGAACUGAUUGGCAGGGAGACACUAAGCAAGAAAAACAAACAGGGCCCCUUUCUAUAUGGUUAUUUAGGAGAAAGCUUGAAAACCAACAAACGAAGAAAGAAGCAGUCACAAGAAAUCUAAGUCGUUAAUGAGGCGCCUUAGAACUCACUCCAAGCUCCAGAUUGGGAGUGGGAGGGGCUGCAGAGGAGGGCCACAAAGGGCAGAGGAAACGGAGGCGAGGGGAGGGGGAAAGGAACACCCACCUCAAAGCAACAUGAGUCUGACAGGUGAAAGCUGACAGGGCGUUCAGGUNNNNNNNNNNNNNNNNNNNCCACGUUUGGGAGUAAUUACUAAAUCAUUCUGCACCUUUCAAAACAGCAAAAAGCAAUUUCCAGCCCGAAAUAGCUUUGCAACAUUCCCCACUGCAGAGUCCCUCUGAACCCAGCUGGCUGAGUAGCACUUUCAGCAUCGGCUCCGCCAAGCCAGGCUUGGAGAGAAGGGCAUUCUGCGGGGGUCUGUGUGCUGCCCUGGGACUGGGGCUGCAAAGCAAAAAUGCAAGGAUGGUUUGUCUGCCACCACUGGGAUGGAACCAGCUGGAACCCACUCACAUCCUGCAUCAGCCGGUAGUCACACUGUGAUGGAUGAGGGUCAAGAACCUGCCCCUGACCUGUGUCCUGGGGGGCUGGGCUUCACUUAGAGCCCAGGUCUUCUGCCGGGGAGAGGGCUAACACCCGCUGAGCCACAUGGCAACAGCUCCUGAGCUGCUGAGAAGUCCUGGUCAGUGGUGUUCUGUGGAUAUUCUGACGAGAUUCGUGACGACUCCCAAAGAUACUCAGAUGAACAGAGACCAAACUUUGAGCAGAGAAGCCAGACUCCAGACAGAGUUGAAAUGGAAAGUUCUGGGUGAAACCAUCUUUGGGGAUCAGAUGAAGAGAUCCCCCCACUGGCCUGUCGUCAAAAGCUGAAUAGAUGUUCCAUCAACUAGAGAACCAGCCACCAAGACCCAUUAUUGAGUCAUUGCGCAUGGACUUGCAAAUCCACAGAACAUAUACCCCGACACUCAUGCCCCACACUUGCGGUGUCAUGUUGACCCCAAUGGUCAGAACUGAAAGCCUACGUGGCACCAAGAUAUCCAUUAAUUGCCCCGUUCUCCAGGGAACAGAGGCUGUCCUGUGAGGCCCUACUCCAUCAUCUUGUCCUGGCAUGAACCCUUGGGCUUAGUCUCAGAAGCACCUCCCCAUGACUGCCCUCCCACACUUCCCAUGCGUGACAACUCUGCCAGAUGUGCUGGGCCCCAAUCUGCCUCUGCCCACCCCAAACACACCCCCAUGUUGGGGCUUCGGGGUCUCUGGUGAAUGCUGCCAUCUGAUCAGGCUUCUGUAGGCAUCCAGGAGGCUUUGGAGGAGAGGAAAUGGUAGUUACUCUACGUGAGCCUGAGGAAGACACAGACGGAGACCCUAUGGAAAGCUGGGAUGUGGCUGAGCAGCCUUUACUCCAAAAGACAGUGGAGACCUGGAGUCCAGCCACCUGCUGAGACUUUCAUCCCAUAAGCCAACUAGCUGACCUUUCACCUGAAUCUUGUCUCUGUCAUGUCCAUCCAGAGUUCUGUCAAAUCCAGCCUGUGUGUGUUAAAAUAUACAUAACUUAAAAUCUGCCACUUUGACCAUUUUUUAAAUAUACAACUGAGUGGCAUUUAGGGCAUUCACAGGACUGUACAACUAC